UGUGGCAUAAUGUAUCAGGUAGAGUGGGGGGUUCAGUUCGCAGUCUCCGUCCCAUGAGCAGUUCACAUGGCGCCAGGCCAUUCUGAAGUGGUGUAGACCGGUAACUCUGCAAAGCAAGGUUCAUGUCAUCAUUCUUUUUCAACAAGGCUUUCACUGUUCGUACACCUUACUCCACUUCCCCAAUUUGCCUGAUGAUACCUUGGUGAGCUGGUAGUAUGGACAAUCCAUACUUCUCUGUAAUUUUCCAGAAAGUCUCAUUCGCGAAUUGUGGUCCGUUAUCCGAAAUCAUCAAAUCAGGGAUACCGUGUUUAGCAAUAUCUACUUCAAGGAUUUAAUCGCGGCUUCAUAAGAGUGUUCUUCUUCUUCUUCCUUUUUGAGUACAGACCUCUUUACAGAGUAUUAUCGUACUAUACUAGGGGUGUGUGCAGGUGGACCGCUACACCGGGGUUCCCCCCUACUCUUAUACGAAUAGUGUAGUGGGUUCUUAACGUGCAAAGGUAGUGGCUCUUCUCUGUGUUCAUGUAGCCUUCUGACUUUUAUCCAUUAUCUUGAAUAGUAGUCCACUUUUAUAUUCUUUCCUUGAUACUCUAAGAGGUCCAUUCCUAGUCUUUCCCAAGGAUGCAUUGGGAAGGACAAAGUCAUCAGUGGUUCUUUAGUCUCCUGGCUAUGGAUGGCACAAGUAGUACAUCUGGAGAUCAUCUCUUUCACUGACUUCGAGAGGCCUGGCCACCAGACCGACUGUCGAGCUCUGGUUCUGCAUUUUGUGAUGCCUAGAUGACCUUGAUGUAAACGCUGUCGGAUGUCUAGUCUCAGAGCCCUGGGAAUGACCAGUCUUUCAUCAUACAGGAGCAAAUCAUCAAUCACACUGAAGUGUCCCCUCUGUUCAACGUAGUGUCUGAUGAUAGGAUCGUGAGGCAUGUAGUCAGUAUAUCAUUUCUCUCAAUUCAAUUCCAUAAUAAAAAACAGUAACAUCAAAAUACUACUUACCGGUAUACAUAAUUAUUAUUAAAAUAGUAAAAUAUUGACAG